CUUCUUCAAUUUGCUGCGGGCAAAUAUAGUGAAUAUGUGAGUCGACCCCGCCAGCAGUCACAAUUUGGCCUUCACCUGCAAUUACCUCGGUACCUGCACCAACCUCGAUAUCAAUGUUGUCUUGAAUAUCGGGAUUACCCGCUUUACCUAUGGCUUGAAUACGGCCGUCUUUAAGUGCAAUGUCGGCCUUUACAAUACCCCAGUGAUCCAAAAUAAGGGCGUUGGUAAUCACGGUAUCUGGCACCAUGGCGCAGCUGGCUUGGCUUUGCCCCAUGCCAUCACG
rnacentral:sRNA from 1 species